AUUUUCCGCUCGGAAAGAGGUGCUUUCCGGCCCAUGUAGCCCUGGGCCUGGGAAAGUCAAAUGGGAAACGUGAGCGGUUCCGCCCUGGAACUGCCAAACGUGCUGCCCCCGCAACGGUACCUGCUACGCGCAAAGCCCGACACCAGCCUGCUUCUCGACCCUGAA
rnacentral:ncRNA from 2 species